rnacentral:lncRNA from 1 species
CAACGAAGUCUCACAGCCUCAAUUGGACCAUUAGGGAAGUUAGAGUCGGCUAAAGGCUCAACAAAAUACCGGUGAGUGAAUUUGCAUCUCAAAACCGUUUUGAGAAUGUGAAUCUAUUUGCACAAAACAUUGAUUGAUUUUAUCCAACUUUUCUUAAAAACGUGUGCCUUGGGAAUAAGCCAUUGAUAAAAUAUUUUGAGGUUGUGAAAAUGUGAAAUGUGUAAAAAG